GAUGAAGAACGCAGCGAAAUGCGAUAAGUAAUGUGAAUUGCAGAAUUCAGUGAAUCAUCGAAUCUUUGAACGCACAUUGCGCCCCUUGGUAUUUCGAGGGGCAUGCCUGUUCGAGCGUCAUUAUAACCCCUCAAGCUCAGCUUGGUGUUGGGGCCUGCUGCACUGGCAGCCCUUAAAAUCAGUGGCGGCGCCAUCUGGCUCUAAGCGUAGUAAUUCUUCUCGCUAUGGAGUCCUGGUGGAUGCUUGCCAUCAACCCCCAAUUUUUCUAUGGUUGACCUCGGAUCAGGUAGGGAUACCCGCUGAACUUAAGCAUAUCAAUAAGCGGAGGA
rnacentral:misc_RNA from 1 species